CACGUAAUCGUCAGUGUUUACGAUUGUAAGACGUUUAUAAGAUGCGUUCCGUUUCAUAUACGUGCAUUUGUCCAUAGUAAACAUUACGUAUAGUAUAUAGAUCAUGUGCGCAUAUGCAAAAAAACGAAAUGUUCAUAGCAUGCUGCAGCAAAAAAGGGGAUGCGCACAACAGCUGACAACAGCAGGGAGAUAAACGCAGCCCAAGUCUGUAUUCCUGGCUUAGAUCUGCUCACGGCCUUUUUCGCGCGAAAAGAACGAAUGAAGUUAAGCAGAACACUAACAUGUGAUAUUGCUGCAACAUUGCUGGAAUAAUAUUUCCAAAUAAUGUUUUUGCAAUAUCUCUGCAACAUUCCACCGCAGUUGCAAUGUUGCAACGUUGCAGCAAUGUUGCUGCAAGGUUCUGUGCUGUAUGGGAAAGUACAAAGGAUAUGGAAUCUGACGAAAUAUCGAUCUCAUACAGCAUCGCUUCAAAAUGGAUUAUUCUGAAGAUAAUGGAUUAUUCUGUAAAAAACGAGAUCAAUGGGAAAAUGAAGAAACACAAUUUUUCCCAAAUUUAAUGAGAAAGCGAAAAAUGAUGAAAUGUUUGGAUGGAAAAAAAUGUCGAAGGAACAAAAUAUUCAAAUUACUGGAAAAGCCCAUGUACGAAAAAGGAUAUAUGAAAACCCACAAACAGAUGCAAACAAAAUAUAGUUUAAACAAGUUGUUAAUAAUUUCCAUUUUUGUAAAUUUCACAAUCGCAAAACGUAACUUCUUCUAUCUGUUAUCAGUUACGGAAUGUCCUACAACAAACAGUUUCAAGCGCCAAAUCUUUUAUUUGCUUAAAGAAGAUGGUUACAAUUGAAGAGUGGCUAUUAAGAAACCGUACAUCAGCGAAACAAAUAGAAAAAAACGUUUAACUUUUGCAAAAAAUAUGAUUUCCAGAGAAGAGUCAUGGUGGAGCGAUGUUAUUUUCGUUGAUGAGUCGAAAUUCAACAUAUCUGGAUCAGAUGGACGACAUAUGGUAUGGCGUAAGCCGAAUACAGCUCUAAAUCUAAAAAAUUUGCGAGCUACUGUCAAGCAUGGUGGAGGAAACGUUAUGGUCUGGAGUUGCAUAUCGAAUAGAGAAGUAGGAAAACUUGUUUUUAUUGAGGAUACUAUGGAUAAGAAUAAAUAUUUACAUAUUUUACAAGAAACUUUAAUACCGAGUGCAGUCAGUAUGGGUAUUGAAAGAAGCUUCAAAUUUUACCAAGAUAAUGAUCCGAAACAUACAGCUCGGAUUAUACAAGAGUACCUACUGUAUAAUUGUCCAAAAGUCUUACAUCCGCCUCCUCAGUCCCCAGAUCUUAACCCUACAGAGAAUUCAUGGAACGAUUUAAACAGAAGAAUAAGAACAACACCUACAUAGAGUAAGGAAGAAUUGAAAAUGACAUUACUAAACGAGUGGGAGAAAACAAAUAUAGAAUAUCUUAAAAAAAUUAUAUUUAGUAUACAAAAACGUUUGAAACAUGUGAUAAAACAUAAAGGUUAUGCUACUAAAUAUUAAAAAGCAAAGUUUAGUUUCUAAAGUAUUAAUUAUGUAUAAUGUCCGAAUAUUUUUAUAACUCAAAACUUGACUGUGAUUUCACUUAAUUUAUAACAUUAUUUUAUUACAUUAAGUUAGUUAAUUAAUACAGGGAAGUAAAGAGAUGUCACCUCAGGCUCUCCUUCAAAAUUAUUGUUUAAUGUUUAAAUUUAACGGCCGUGUAGA